CAGCCGCCACGGUAAUACGAAGGGUGCAAGCGUUACUCGGAAUUACUGGGCGUAAAGCGUGCGUAGGUGGUGGUUUAAGUCCGUUGUGAAAGCCCUGGGCUCAGCCUGGGAAUUGCAGUGGAUACUGGGUCACUAGAGUGUGGUAGAGGAUAGUGGAAUUUCCGGUGUAGCAGUGAAAUGCGUAGAGAUCGGAAGGAACAUCUGUGGCGAAGGCGACUAUCUGGGCCAACACUGACACUGAGGCACGAAAGCGUGGGGAGCAAACAGGAUUAGAUACCCCAGUAGUCCCUGUCUCUUAUAC
rnacentral:rRNA from 1 species